rnacentral:tRNA from 1 species
GGGGAUUUAGCUUUAAUGGUUAGAGCAGUGGACUGUUAAUCCAAUGGUUACAGGUUCGAGUCCUGUAUUCCCCG